rnacentral:misc_RNA from 1 species
GAUGAAGAACGUAGCGAAAUGCGAUACGUAAUGUGAAUUGCAAAUUCAGUGAAUCAUCGAAUCUUUGAACGCACAUUGCGCCCGCUGGUAUUCCGGCGGGCAUGCCUGUUCGAGCGUCAUUUCAACCCUCAAGCCCCCGGGUUUGGUGUUGGGGAUCGGCUCUGCCCUUCUGGGCGGUGCCGCCCCCGAAAUACAUUGGCGGUCUCGCUGCAGCCUCCAUUGCGUAGUAGCUAACACCUCGCAACUGGAACGCGGCGCGGCCAUGCCGUAAAACCCCAACUUCUGAAUGUUGACCUCGGAUCAGGUAGGAAUACCCGCUGAACUUAAGCAUAUCAUAAGCGGAGGA